rnacentral:tRNA from 1 species
GGGGCGGUAGCUCAGUCGGUGAGAGCCGUGGACUCGGAAUGGGUGGUCGCGGGUUUCGAACCCCGCCCGCCCCACCG